ensembl:lncRNA
CUUGAACUUACUAUCUACACUCUAUAGCUCAGGCUAGCCUCAAACUUGAGGUGAUCUUCCUUCCUCAGCCUCCUGGGUGCUGGGAUUACAGGAAGGUGAACUCCGAGAAGAGGAAAAUACUGGGUUGGAAAUUGCUACCUAACAGUGAGAGGAAGUGAAACGAAGUGAAAAUGGGAAUUAUGACCCAGGCAGCUGCGUGGAACACUGCUGACUUCUGUGGAGAGGUAAGUAGAUACAGAUGAAGGUGAAUUAUCAGAUGUCUUUUCAUUGCAUUUGCUGCUGCUAAUCUGAAAAAAUUGAGUAAUGUGGGAGAAGAAAUUAAUGACCCUAUAAUUUUAGCCAUAGAAGAAGUAGAUAUGAAAGUAUCCAUUGAGUUGAGAUCUGACACGAAG